rnacentral:rRNA from 1 species
GCAGCAGUGGGGAAUAUUGCACAAUGGGCGCAAGCCUGAUGCAGCAACGCCGCGUGAGCGAUGAAGGUCUUCGGAUCGUAAAGCUCUGUCCUUGGGGAAGAAAAAAAUGACGGUACCCUUGGAGGAAGCCCCGGCUAACUACGUGCCAGCAGCCGCGGUAAUACGUAGGGGGCGAGCGUUAUCCGGAAUUAUUGGGCGUAAAGAGUAUGUAGGUGGUCUUUUAAGCGUAGGGUUUAAGGCAAUGGCUCAACCAUUGUUCGCCCUGCGAACUGGAAGACUUGAGUGCAGGAGAGGAAAGCGGAAUUCCUAGUGUAGCGGUGAAAUGCGUAGAUAUUAGGAGGAACACCAGCGGCGAAGGCGGCUUUCUGGACUGUAACUGACACUGAGAUACGAAAGCGUGGGGAGCAAACAGGAUUAGAUACCCUGGUAGUCCACGCCGUAAACGAUGAGCACUAGGCGUCGGGGUCGCAAGACUUCGGUGCCGCAGUUAACGCAUUAAGUGCUCCGCCUGGGGAGUAUGCACGCAAGUGUGAAACUCAAA